CCACGGCCCAGACUCCUACGGGAGGCAGCAGUAGGGAAUCUUCCGCAAUGGACGCAAGUCUGACGGAGCAACGCCGCGUGAGUGAUGAAGGUUUUCGGAUCGUAAAGCUCUGUUGCCCUAGACGAACAGCAAGGAGAGUAACUGCUCUUUGUGUGACAGUAUAGGAGAAGAAAGCCCCGGCUAACUACGUGCCAGCAGCCGCGGUAAUACGUAGGGGGCAAGCGUUGUCCGGAAUUAUUGGGCGUAAAGCGCGCGCAGGCGGUCAAUUAAGUUGGGUGUUUAAGCCCGGGGCUCAACCCCGGUUCGCAUCCAAAACUGGUUGACUUGAGUGUAGGAGAGGAAAGUGGAAUUCCACGUGUAGCGGUGAAAUGCGUAGAGAUGUGGAGGAACACCAGUGGCGAAGGCAGCCCCCUGGGUCAAGACUGACGCUGAGGCGCGAAAGCGUGGGGAGCAAACAGGAUUAGAUACCCUGGUAGUCCACGCCGUAAACGAUGCAUACUAGGUGUUGGGGAUUCGAUUCCUCGGUGCCGAAGUUAACACAGUAAGUAUGCUGCCUGGGGAGUACGCUCGCAAGAGUGAAACUCAAAGGAAUUGACGGAA
rnacentral:rRNA from 1 species